rnacentral:rRNA from 1 species
AAACUUUCAACACCGGAUCUAUUGGUUCUGGCAUCGAUGAAGAACGCAGCGAAAUGCGAUAAGUAAUGUGAAUUGCAGAAUUCAGUGAAUCAUUGAAUUUUUGAACGCACAUUGCGCCCGCCAGCAUUCUGGCGGGCAUGCCUGUCAGAACGUCAUUU